AACGAACGCUGGCGGCAUGCCUAACACAUGCAAGUCGAACGAGAUCUUCGGGUCUAGUGGCGCACGGGUGCGUAACGCGUGGGAAUCUGCCCUUUGGUUCGGAACAACAGUUGGAAACGACUGCUAAUACCGGAUGAUGACGAAAGUCCAAAGAUUUAUCGCCAGAGGAUGAGCCCGCGUAGGAUUAGCUAGUUGGUGUGGUAAAGGCGCACCAAGGCGACGAUCCUUAGCUGGUCUGAGAGGAUGAUCAGCCACACUGGGACUGAGACACGGCCAGACUCCUACGGGAGGCAGCAGUGGGGAAUAUUGGACAAUGGGCGAAAGCCUGAUCCAGCAAUGCCGCGUGAGUGAUGAAGGCCUUAGGGUUGUAAAGCUCUUUUACCCCGGGAUGAUAAUGACAGUACCGGGAGAAUAAGCUCCGGCUAACUCCGUGCCAGCCGCCGCGGUAA
rnacentral:rRNA from 1 species